rnacentral:rRNA from 1 species
CCUACGGGAAGCAGCAGUGAGGAAUUUUCCGCAAUGGGCGAAAGCCUGACGGAGCAAUGCCGCGUGGAGGAUGAAAGCCUGUGGGUUGUAAACUCCUUUUCUCAGAAAAGAAUUAAUGACGGUAUUUGAGGAAUAAGCAUCGGCUAACUCCGUGCCAGCAGCCGCGGUAAUACGGAGGAUGCAAGCGUUAUCCGGAAUGAUUGGGCGUAAAGCGUCUGUAGGUGGAUUGUAAAGUCCUCUGUUAAAGAUCUGGGCUUAACCCAGUUCAAGCAGUGGAAACUUAUAAUCUAGAGUACGGUAGGGGCAGAGGGAAUUCCCGGUGUAGCGGUGAAAUGCGUAGAUAUCGGGAAGAACACCGACAGCGAAAGCACUCUGCUGGGCCGAAACUGACACUAAGAGACGAAAGCUAGGGGAGCAAAAAGGAUUAGAUACCCUUGUAGUCCUAGCCGUAAACGAUGGAUACUUAGUGCUGUGCGGCUGGACUGUUUUGUUGAGACCUUAGGGUAAGGCGAAUAGCCCAGAACAAAAACGUACAGUAUUGUAGCUAACGCGUGAAGUGC